UUGACAAAACGAGUGAGAUUCGCCGAUAAGGAAUCACACCUUCGGACAUUAUUUUCGGAGCGCAUCGCCUUAUCAGGGAGAAGGGUACGUUAGAUAACAGGGCAUGUUUGAAACCUCUUCACAUCUGUCCGGACUCUCCUAGUAACUUCAAACAAGCCAGGCAUCCAAGCGCCUCCGCGAAUCCGCGUUAAAUAUGGACUAAUAAUAAUAAACAUCACGAAUCCAGGAAGUGUAAAGAGACAUUCCGACGAAUGUAUAAUCAUCGGUCGAAUAAUGAGAUCCGUAAGACCGUUUCUUGCGGAAGAAAGCUGCUUACAAUCGAGAUCACUUCCUGCCCAUGAAGUAAUCGGCCUGAUUUAAUAACCGGCUCGUCGAUGCGAGGCGUAUAAAUAAAGAAUUAACAGG